rnacentral:snoRNA from 1 species
AUGCAAAUUUAAUCUGAGAGACCUGGAGCAGUUUGUUAUCUGCUGUUCAGAUUUCCACUACAAAUGCAAGAAAAAAAUGUCCUGUGUUUUCUUUUAGUUUGUCUGAUUGUGGCAACCAAGACUGAAUAGAGGAAUAAAUAC